UCUGCUGAAGUGAUGUUUAUCCCAUAGAUGACCUGUGAAGGUAAUAUACGCCCAGGACCCAGCUAUCUUCGCGAGCGGACGUUCGAUUUUGGCUUUUCUUACCAGUGUUGAUCUAUUGACAGACGAUCGUUAAAGGUGAUGUAUGUGCUCUAUUUGGUCUACUAUAGUACGCUGGUGUUUUUUUCCCCUCUAUUUGAGUUUAUUCAAAUUUUCUUUUGGACAGUCUUGAUUUCAGUGGUCGAAUUUUGCAAGAAGUCAACCAAUUUUCAUAGACCAAAGAUAGUGUGUUUUGACUAACAACAUACCGUUUUAUCAUUUGAUUUCAGGCAAGCAACUUUUUCAACAAACAAAUUCCAGUAAAUUCAAUAAAACCGACAAGAGUAGAAACAGCAAAGAGCUGCUACAUAGCUCAGUUAAAAGGACACAAAACAUCUAUAAAACGUACGAUAUCUUACAAAACCAACUUUAACUCCCAAACCUUAAAGAUUGGACAUCAAGUGAACAAACCAAGGUUCAAUUUCUAUCUAGCAGCUAGAUAUGUUUACUCGAGUUUGGCCCGGCUCUAACCGUGUUCUGGACAUGAGUUUUAGAUUUCGGACAUAUAUAGCGACUUUCUCUCGAAGUUUAUUUAUUUAUUUUGUAACCAAAAGCAAAUUAGACGUUGGUGAUAAUGAAUGGCAAUUGUCGCCAGCAAUCGCACGAUCAUGACAUGCUGACUAGUCCAAACGCGCGACAUCGCUCGAUAACCCGAUUUCUUCACCACUGGAUUUUGUUGCCUUUCGACUCUCUCUCAAUAGUCAAACCAAUGAAUUAAGCCAUCUUUUUUAAAUGUUACUAAUUGUUCUUUAAAAAUUCAAAACAAAAAUAUCCUUGAGAAAAAAAUUAGAAACAAGAAAUAACAAUUGUUUCUUUCUUCUAAU
rnacentral:lncRNA from 1 species